AUCAGAAACCCACUCCUGCGAUGAAGGAUGAAUCUUCCUGAGGGCAGAGCUCUUACCGCCCACUCGCCCCUCUAAGUUCCCACCUCCCAAGGCCGUGUCUCUGGGGAUGAAGUUUCCAACACACAAACAUUGGGGGCACCUUCAAGCCACGGUGUCCUGUAAACCAGCGUUCCAGCAUUUGCCAAAUGGUGUUUCUUUUACCAGGAGAUAAGGACUCUGAUCAGGUCCUUUGGAAAGAGCAAGGGAAGCUGUUCAUGUUCUAUCCUGCGUGUUCUCGAGAAAGUUUUGAUGACAGAAAACAUCACACAGAAAGGGGAAGGCAUCGCAAGUUUCCAGCUCCAUGGAUUUUUGCAAACUGAGCACAUUUGUGGGCCAGGAGUGGGGCCCACAGCGAGAAUAUCCUUCCUGCUGCUCCUGCCAUCCAUCCACCAGCACAGCCAGUUCCCAGCUGUGGAACACACAGAGCUGUGCACUGUUGAGUUGAUCACGAUGAGAACAGUGAGUGUCUCUCACCUGUGGCUGCACUUGCUGGAAGCACCGCCUGCUCUGGCCUCUUUGCUCCAGAACAUUCCCUGCUGAACAGUGACACCAGGGAAGGCCAAGGAUGGGCACACAAGGCUCAGUCCUUCACCUGAUGGCGGCUUGGCCAUGUUCAUCUUUCCCUUUUCUCAAAGACCUGUGUGGGGCCAGAGAAAGCUGGGGUUUCCGGUGGCCUGCAGUGUGGCAGAAAGCAGAGCCUUCCACUGGGAAAAGGGGAAAAAGGGAAUUCUUCCGAAGAGAAGGAUGAAGCCAGCAGCAGGGGUCCCGGCAGGCCUGACCCCCAUGGAGCUGAUGAGGCCGAGUGUCAGGAAGCACUCCCAUUGUCCUCGAAAACAGACACAGGUCAACCUGCGUUACGGGGUCUGCGAGGUCAUCAGAUAACCCCACAGUGUCGAAUACUGUAACUACAUGCCUGCCUAAGAUGACCUGGUAUACUGUAGGUGCACACAAGAUUCUCCAUAGUGAAAGUACAUAUACAAUUGUUGCUAAUUUUUGAUCCUAGAAAAUCCACUGGAUUGAUACUUUAGAAGAGGAUAAUGGAUAAAAUCAAUCGAUCGGAAAAUUCAAAUAUUUAGAAAAUACUAGUUUCAAUCUACUGUAAAAAUAUCAUAAAUUUGUACUGAACUAUUUUUCCUUAUUACAAAAAUAUUCGAGCAAUAAAAAUGUCGGAUAUUA